AGAGUUUGAUCCUGGCUCAGGAUGAACGAUGGCGGCGUGCUUAACACAUGCAAGUCGAGCGAAGCACUUUUGCGGAUUUCUUCGGAUUGAAGCAACUGUGACUGAGCGGCGGACGGGUGAGUAACGCGUGGGUAACCUGCCUCAUACAGGGGGAUAACAGUUGGAAACGGCUGCUAAUACCGCAUAAGCGCACAGUACCGCAUGGUACCGUGUGAAAAACUCCGGUGGUAUGAGAUGGACCCGCGUCUGAUUAGCUAGUUGGUGGGGUAACGGCCUACCAAGGCGACGAUCAGUAGCCGACCUGAGAGGGUGACCGGCCACAUUGGGACUGAGACACGGCCCAAACUCCUACGGGAGGCAGCAGUGGGGAAUAUUGCACAAUGGGGGAAACCCUGAUGCAGCGACGCCGCGUGAGCGAUGAAGUAUUUCGGUAUGUAAGGCUCUAUCAGCAGGGAAGAAAAUGACGGUACCUGACUAAGAAGCCCCGGCUAACUACGUGCCAGCAGCCGCGGUAAUACGUAGGGGGCAAGCGUUAUCCGGAUUUACUGGGUGUAAAGGGAGCGUAGACGGCAUGGCAAGCCAGAUGUGAAAGCCCGGGGCUCAACCCCGGGACUGCAUUUGGAACUGUCAGGCUAGAGUGUCGGAGAGGAAAGCGGAAUUCCUAGUGUAGCGGUGAAAUGCGUAGAUAUUAGGAGGAACACCAGUGGCGAAGGCGGCUUUCUGGACGAUGACUGACGUUGAGGCUCGAAAGCGUGGGGAGCAAACAGGAUUAGAUACCCUGGUAGUCCACGCCGUAAACGA
rnacentral:rRNA from 1 species